CCUACGGGAGGCAGCAGUAGGGAAUAUUGCACAAUGGGCGAAAGCCUGAUGCAGCAACGCCGCGUGAGCGAUGAAGGCUUUCGGAUCGUAAAGCUCUGUCCUCAAAGAAGAUAAUGACGGUACUUGAGGAGGAAGCCCCGGCUAACUCCGUGCCAGCAGCCGCGGUAAUACGGAGGGGGCUAGCGUUAUCCGGAAUUACUGGGCGAAAAGGGUGCGUAGGUGGUUUCUUAAGUCAGCGGUGAAAGGCUACGGCUAAACCGUAGUAAGCCUUUGAAACUGGGGAACUUGAGUGAAGGAGAGGAGAGUGGAAUUCCCAGUGUAGCGGUGAAAUGCGUAGAUAUUAGGAGGAACACCAGUGGCGAAGGCGGCUCUCUGGACUGUAACUGACACUGAGGCACGAAAGCGUGGGGAGCAAACAGGAUUAGAUACCCGUGUAGUC
rnacentral:rRNA from 1 species